UCUGAUGGACUGAAGAGCCUGGUGGGCUACAGUCCAUGGAAUCACAAAAGAUUUGGACAUGACUUAGCAACUGGAAACAAGAGCAAAGGAUGGUGAGGAAUGGGGGAUAAUGACUUUGAAGAAGAGACUCAGAGGGGCAGAGGUGGGAGCCACAGUAACCCUGCCUGGCUCCAAGGCCAGAACGUGGCUAUGACAAAGCACUGAGAACCAACUCCGACAGAACUGUCCCUCAAUGAAAAUGAUUGUGUUUGGAAAUAGUGAGCACCCCAUCACUGGUAGUAUGCAAGUGGAGUGAGGAAAGGAUUCCUGCUUCAAGCUCCCAGUUUCAGCAAAAAUACUGGCCCUACUGAUAAAACCAUCCUUUGUCUGCUAUAUAUAGAUGUAUCAUAGUCAACAAAUAUGUAAUCCAUAUUUCCCCUAUUUUAAGGUGUACUUUAAGAAAUGAAUAUUUCUGAAACUGGGGCUGUCUUAAGUCAGUGUGUACGCUUCAUGCAUAAUGCAUCCUUCUUUCUGAAAAGUUGUUAUUCAAGCUUUUUUGAAUCAGCAAAAUGAAGUGUACACUUUGGGAAGUUGUUCUGACAAUCUGUAUUUCAUCUUACAUUUGCCCUAUUAGAAUGCAUGUCUUGACUUUAAAGAAAUCUAUCUAAAUAAAUGAUGUGUACGAAAAAAAAAAUCCAACUUUCUCUUCUUAGUGAAGCCAUACUCAAAUGUAUUGAAUCCAGCAGCAGGUGACAUUCCACCUUGUUGCUGCCAUCCUGGCAUCAGAAGUGGAAGCGAGACAGGCUAUUAAAUUGGCUUUUAACAGAUUCAGAACAGAAGGUUCUUGGCUAGGGGAAAAAAAUUCCACUUAUCAAGAGAUGUUAUCCCUUCAAAGGAUGAGAAACUAUUUCUUCAUAAAGAGAGUUUGGAGGAAGCUUUUUGUUCUGUGAGGACAACAUCUGGAUUUGAAUAUGUCCAUCCUCAAAAGGAGAUUUUUCUCAUAAUGGAUCGGGCUCAAAACACUCAGAGCAUAAGGAUCGGUGCUUUUUCAAAAGGAGACACUUGCGGAGGCGUGAGGGGGGCCCUCCUGUCUCUGCAGCGCCAGCUCUGGAGGUCCAGGAGGGCCCCCGCGCCCUUGACUAACUUUCACACUGAAAGCCUCUCCAUCAUCUUCUGCCUCCCCACCCUACUCCGGGAAUUUGGGACCUGAAUGCAUUUUGAAACAUUUGUGGUUUCAGGAGGCUUUCUUAAAAAAAAAAAAAAAACCUGCCAAGGAUAUAUUACCAUGAAAGAUCAUUUGAGAGGCUAGAAAGAAGGAAGCCAGGCCAAGGCUGGCGCGGGCUGUGCUGUAAGUUUGAGAAGGAUGCCACGCGGAGCCGGGCCACCUGUGGACCAGCCAGACGGACACAUGCCCGCCGACGCGGGUUUGAAUCCCGGCUCUGCGGGUCCCUUCCGACGCGACCUUGGGGGAAGUUGUGUAACGUCUGCGCCCUGCGACGCUCUUCCCCGGAGCCUAGAACUGGAAAGAAGCCCCUGGAAGCCCUGACAUCAGAGGUGACGCGAGCCUUCGCAGGCGAUGACUAGGCAGAACCCGUCGCCACUCCCUUUCCCGCGUCCCGGCCGCUCUGCGCGGGUGUGUCGCCUCCGACCAGGUGGUUGUGGCUCCUGCAGCAGCUUUCUUUAGCCCCACGCUGCGUCUGGCCUGCCCUGCUGCCCCUGAUGGUUUGAGGACCGAAAGGUUCAGGAAGAUCAGAAGAGAAGAGGAGCAGAAAAAGUAUUUUAACAGUGGAAACUUUUGCGCAAGCAAAACCUUAGGAAGAAUAUAUAAAAUAGAGCUGCUCUGGAGCCUCACCCACUCUCGAAACUGUCAUUAAAUCCUGCGGUGGGGA